rnacentral:lncRNA from 10 species
AGUACAUGAGCGCAGGCCCAAGAUCCGAAAGGGAAAGUCCUGAACGCCCCCUUCCCCCUGUCUUUUCGGCGGGGCUUUGGGAGUUUGCAGGGUGUUCUGAGUGUUUGGGCCUCAGGGAUUCUCACCUCCGGGAGAUUCCAGGAGCUGUAGGGGGUGGAAUGCGAGUAGGAGGAGAGGUUGCAGAUGGAUAUCGUGGCCUGCUGAUGGUUUUGGAGCCCAGGUCCAGACAUUUCUUGAUUGAAGUAGACAUUCAAGAAGUGUGAAAUGCACAGUCAGAAAAUCUGGGACUUCUCUUUUUCCUUGUCAGAAUCAGGAUUGAAAAAUGAUUCAGCGGGGAAUAGCUUCUUUACAGUGAGAGCCCGUGUUAUUGAUUUUUGUGUCUGUAUACAACCUAAAAGAAUGGAGGCGUGUGUCCCUCUCUUUCGGAAAUAAUGAUAUCAUCCAUGUGUAAUUAAUUAUGUGGGGCCCAUGUUGGAAGACUGUGUAGCCAGCUCUUGGCUGUCGAAGCACUGACUACAUGGAUUUAACCUGCCAUUGACAGUGGCGCCAUUUUUCUGGUCCUCCAGAGGAACAUAAACCUGUCCAUUUUACUCAUCUUGAAGGAGUUUUGGCAAAACAUGUAUUAGGGCAGAAAAUGAAACCUCACUAGAGCUCCCUUUGCACUGGAAGGCUGGAGGAAUUUCGUGGACUUGGAGGCUCUGCCCUGUGCUCCACGGCCACAAGCCCUUAAGUGUUGUCUCCACAGCAUUUGCAUUUGCUGUCCUCAAAGCCCCGCUCCUCCCUCUCCCGUCGCUGUCCU